ensembl:misc_RNA
UAUCUUUGACCCAUUAUUAGAGAUGCAAAAAACAAGCAUAUUUUCAAAUGGUGCUCUGCACAGCCAGUGGUGUAUCUGUUUUGAUGCCAUUAUUCUUCACAAAAUAUGAUGAUAAUGCUAUCUUUUAACAAAAAAACAAAGUUUGAUUCCACAGAAGCAGCUGGAAAUGGAUUACCACAAUAAACUUAAAUCCGUUAAGAACACACAGUUUGACAUAUACUGCUAAAAGUUUCUCAUAUUUAGGAAUUCUUUUAAGAAAAAUACUUACAUUGAGUUUUAGCAGGUGUGUAUGUGGAUAAAUAUGGGAAAAUUCAUUUCCCAAUGGUAACCUGGAAUUUGAGUUUAAAAUUUUUUUUUUAAUAUGUAUUUAAUGAUUGAAACACUUUGAAGAAG